rnacentral:rRNA from 1 species
UACAGAGGGGGCAAGCGUUGUUCGGAAUUACUGGGCGUAAAGGGCGCGUAGGCGGUCAGCACAAGUCAGUUGUGAAAUCUCCGGGCUUAACUCGGAAAGGUCAACUGAUACUGUGCGACUAGAGUGCAGAAGGGGCAACUGGAAUUCUCGGUGUAGCGGUGAAAUGCGUAGAUAUCGAGAGGAACACCGGUGGCGAAGGCGGGUCUCUGGGCCGAUACUUACGCUGAGGAGCGAAAGCGUGGGGAGCGAACAGG